rnacentral:rRNA from 1 species
UACGGAGGGGGCGAGCGUUAUUCGGAAUCAUUGGGCGUAAAGGGCGCGUAGGCGGCCCCGUAAGUCUUGGGUGAAAGCCCUCGGCUCAACCGAGGAAUUGCCUUGGAUACUGCGGGGCUCGAGGCUGGAAGAGGACAGUGGAAUUCCCGGUGUAGCGGUGAAAUGCGUAGAGAUCGGGAGGAACACCAGUGGCGAAGGCGGCGAUCUGGGAAGAUACUGACGCUGAGGUGCGAAAGCGUGGGGAGCAAACAGG